rnacentral:rRNA from 1 species
AGAGUUUGAUCCUGGCUCAGGACGAACGCUGGCGGCGUGCUUAACACAUGCAAGUCGAACGAUGAAGCCUUCGGGUGGAUUAGUGGCGAACGGGUGAGUAACACGUGGGAAAUCUGCCCUGCACUCUGGGACAAGCCUUGGAAACGAGGUCUAAUACCGGAUAUUACCUGUCCUCGCAUGGGGAUGGGUGGAAAGCUCCGGCGGUGCAGGAUGAUCCCGCGGCCUAUCAGCUUGUUGGUGGGGUAAUGGCCUACCAAGGCGACGACGGGUAGCCGGCCUGAGAGGGCGACCGGCCACACUGGGACUGAGACACGGCCCAGACUCCUACGGGAGGCAGCAGUGGGGAAUAUUGCACAAUGGGCGAAAGCCUGAUGCAGCGACGCCGCGUGAGGGAUGAAGGCCUUCGGGUCGUAAACCUCUUUCAGCAGGGAAGAAGCGCAAGUGACGGUACCUGCAGAAGAAGCACCGGCUAACUACGUGCCAGCAGCCGCGGUAAUACGUAGGGUGCGAGCGUUGUCCGGAAUUAUUGGGCGUAAAGAGCUCGUAGGCGGCUUGUCGCGUCGGAUGUGAAAGCCCGGGGCUUAACCCCGGGUCUGCAUUCGAUACGGGCAGGCUAGAGUGUGGUAGGGGAGAUCGGAAUUCCUGGUGUAGCGGUGAAAUGCGCAGAUAUCAGGAGGAACACCGGUGGCGAAGGCGGAUCUCUGGGCCAUUACUGACGCUGAGGAGCGAAAGCGUGGGGAGCGAACAGGAUUAGAUACCCUGGUAGUCCACGCCGUAAACGGUGGGAACUAGGUGUUGGCGACAUUCCACGUCGUCGGUGCCGCAGCUAACGCAUUAAGUUCCCCGCCUGGGGAGUACGGCCGCAAGGUAAAACUCAAAGGAAUUGACGG